UACGGAGGGUGCAAGCGUUAAUCGGAAUUACUGGGCGUAAGGCGCGCGUAGGCGGCCAAAUCAGCCGGUUGUGAAAGCCCCGGGCUCAACCUGGGAACGGCAUCCGGAACUGUUUGGCUAGAGUGCAGGAGAGGAAGGUAGAAUUCCCGGUGUAGCGGUGAAAUGCGUAGAGAUCGGGAGGAAUACCAGUGGCGAAGGCGGCCUUCUGGACUGACACUGACGCUGAGGGACGAAAGCGUGGGUAGCGAAUGGG
rnacentral:misc_RNA from 1 species